rnacentral:rRNA from 1 species
GUGGGGAAUUUUGGACAAUGGGCGCAAGCCUGAUCCAGCAAUGCCGCGUGCAGGAAGAAGGCCUUCGGGUUGUAAACUGCUUUUGUACGGAACGAAACGGUCCUGGUUAAUACCCGGGGCUAAUGACGGUACCGUAAGAAUAAGCACCGGCUAACUACGUGCCAGCAGCCGCGGUAAUACGUAGGGUGCAAGCGUUAAUCGGAAUUACUGGGCGUAAAGCGUGCGCAGGCGGUUUUGUAAGACAGGCGUGAAAUCCCCGGGCUCAACCGGGGAAUUGCGCUUGUGACUGCAAGGCUGGAGUGCGGCAGAGGGGGAUGGAAUUCCGCGUGUAGCAGUGAAAUGCGUAGAUAUGCGGAGGAACACCGAUGGCGAAGGCAAUCCCCUGGGCCUGCACUGACGCUCAUGCACGAAAGCGUGGGGAGCAAACAGGAUUAGAAACCCUUGUAGUCC